rnacentral:rRNA from 1 species
AGAACUUAGCAGAGAUGCUUUUGGUGGCCCUUUCGGGGAACUCUGAGACAGGUGCUGCAUGGCUGUCGUCAGCUCGUGUUGUGAAAUGUUUGGGGUUUAAAGUCCCCGCAAACCGAGCCGCAAACCCCUUUAUCCUUUGUUGCCAGCGGUUAGGCCGGGAACUCAAAGGAGACUGCCAGUGAUAAACUGGAGGAAGGUGGGGAUGACGUCAAGUCAUCAUGGCCCUUACGAGUAGGGCUACACACGUGCUACAAUGGCGCAUACAAAGAGAAGCGACCUCGCGAGAGCAAGCGGACCUCAUAAAGUGCGUCGUAGUCCGGAUUGGAGUCUGCAACUCGACUCCAUGAAGUCGGAAUCGCUAGUAAUCGUGGAUCAGAAUGCCACGGUGAAUACGUUCCCGGGCCUUGUACACACCGCCCGUCACACCAUGGGAGUGGGUUGCAAAAGAAGUAGGUAGCUUAACCUUCGGGAGGGCGCUUACCACUUUGUGAUUCAUGACUGGGGUGAAGUCGUAACAAGGUAAGCGUAGUGCU